GGCAAGUCUGGUGCCAGCAGCCGCGGUAAUUCCAGCUCCAAUAGCGUAUAUUAAAGUUGUUGCAGUUAAAAAGCUCGUAGUUGAAUUUCGGGGUUAGUAGGCUGGUCAUACCACAGGUAUGCACUGGUCUUACUGAUUCCUCCUUCCUGAUGAACCGUAAUGCCAUUAAUUUGGUGUUGCGGGGAGUCUGGACUGUUACUUUGAAAAAAUUAGAGUGUUUAAAGCAGGC
rnacentral:rRNA from 1 species